UCUCCUCACUAUCAGUUCCACUUCCUAAACAUGAGAACCAUUGUCUUGCCAAUUGAUACUCGUUAGUUUAGUUUAAGAAGAAAACAGUCUCAUGAAAUAAAUUCAUCUGUUGCAGCCCAUUGAAAUAAACGUUCUGUUGGUGCAACCAAAGAAAGUUAUCCCCAAAGCCUAAUGUUUUGUUGAUUGCACAAGCAGCAGGAGAGUAUGAUGGUGGUGGAGGCUGGUAUAUCCUUGGCCGCCAUAACGAGCUUCAGCUGCUGCUGGAUGAUAAGAUCGAGCAGGCCAUCCGUUCCAGGAAUAGGAGCCCCAGCCAUGUAAGCCUUUGAUGAUUCUGCCUUUCUCGUCCUUACCCAUCUCCCCUUCUACUUGAAUAACUGUUCAGAUAUUAAACAAAAAAGAGAGAAACAUGAAUCGCAAGAAAGCAAAACAGGAAGAGGAAUCAAGGAGCAGUAGUGACACUCACCGGAGCUAGAAAAUUUGGGAGUUGCCAAGGAACGUGUAGUCCCUCACUUAUUAGUACCAAGAGGGAACCAUCAGCCAUGGGUUCUUUGGAUAAUACUUGAAGAUUCUAAUUUUGGCAUGCAAAUUGUACAUUAUUCCAACAACUCAUUUGCCUUUGGCUUCCUAAUCACGCAAGAAUAAGCAUAACUAGCAUUGAUAUAUGAACUAAAAAGAUAACAUUUUAUAAGCAUUGUAUCUUUCGAUACAAGAGAUGCACUAGAAGAAGCCGUUUCAUUUUCAGACCAAAAUUUGGCGUUUGGUUCAGUGAAAAGAAUCAAGAACUAUGGAAGUGGAGUUGCAAAAGAUCUACUUUUUGCGUUGGUGAAAUUUCCUUCCGGAAUAAUUAAAGUAGAUUAAAGACUAAUCAGCAUCAGUUCCAAUUGCACUAUGAAAUAAACUACUAGAAGAUUAAUGCUGAUAACGGCAUACAAUUUCUCACUGCUUUUCCAUGUACAAGUGGAGAAAAAUACAGACACGGUUUUAUUUUCUUUACAAAUAAUUGGUUUCACCUAAUUUACAUGUAUUACCAUAACUCAAACUUGCAACAAUUUCAAAGAAAGAAACAACUUUCACCAAUGAAACACCAUUAACAAAAGCUGCUCUAAUGAGCCAGCAGAGGAAAACGAAUAAGACAAACGGAAGGUAUCC